UCCUCCUGGCCGGUGAAGGCGUGCCGCCAUUUUGCGCGGCGGUUGGGCGGCCGGUGGCGUUGGGCUCACGGCCCGCCUGCCUCGGGCCUGGAGCGGUGAGCGUCCUGACCUCGUGAACGCAGACGUGCGCGUACGUCCGUUCCACCGGCAGCCUGAAUAUGGCGGCGCCGUUAGGCACUGAGGCGGGUGCACACAGCUUUUUGCUUUCCCCCUUGCUCAGUUUUGAAUUGCAUCUAUCUCAUCGUUCAUCCCCAUGCACGGACAGUGUAUUUAACACACUGCUGUGUUAGAGUUGUGUCAGAGAGAUGGAGGAAUCUUCUUCCAGCACCACAACCAGUGCCCUCAGCACCGUGACACCGAUACAGCUUACAGAACUGUCCAGCUUCAGG